GAUGAACGCUGGCGGCGUGCCUAAUACAUGCAAGUCGAGCGAACGGACGAGAAGCUUGCUUCUCUGAUGUUAGCGGCGGACGGGUGAGUAACACGUGGAUAACCUACCUAUAAGACUGGGAUAACUUCGGGAAACCGGAGCUAAUACCGGAUGAUAUUUUGAACCGCAUGGUUCAAAAGUGAAAGACGGUCUUGCUGUCACUUAUAGAUGGAUCCGCGCUGCAUUAGCUAGUUGGUAAGGUAACGGCUUACCAAGGCAACGAUGCAUAGCCGACCUGAGAGGGUGAUCGGCCACACUGGAACUGAGACACGGUCCAGACUCCUACGGGAGGCAGCAGUAGGGAAUCUUCCGCAAUGGGCGAAAGCCUGACGGAGCAACGCCGCGUGAGUGAUGAAGGUCUUCGGAUCGUAAAACUCUGUUAUUAGGGAAGAACAUAUGUGUAAGUAACAGUGCACAUCUUGACGGUACCUAAUCAGAAAGCCACGGCUAACUACGUG
rnacentral:rRNA from 1 species